UUAACUAUUAUAUAGUACUCAGACGACAUUAAUAAAAAGAGUUUUGAUAUCCUCUGGCGAGCAUGCUCGAGCCCGAAAGCUCAAGGCCCGUGAAGGCAGCUCGCCAAAGCAACAAAGUAAUAAUACACAAGGGUGGGAGGUCUACCCUUUCGGGCAUGAACUCUGUAAUGAUCCUUCCGCAGGUUCACCUACGGAAA
rnacentral:misc_RNA from 1 species